CAAGAAAUGAAAGCAACACAAUUUUAAUCAAAUUGUGAAAUUUUAUUUUAGUGCAAGCAAUAUAACUUAAAUAGAAUAAGAUUGAUAUAAUUGAAGAACUAAUAAAGAUGGAGUGAAAGUCUUGGUUCCAUGAUCAAAGAUAUCGGUUCUUUUGGGUGUGUAGUCAAUCCAUAAAUCUCGUCCAUGCUUAUAUCUUCUGGCUUCGUAUCUCCUCCUAAUUUCCAAUUGAAUCCAUGCAUCAAGUUAGCCAUUGUUGUUCGAACAACCUUCAUACCAAGGCUAUACCCCGGGCACUUUCUUCUUCCUGAACCAAAUGGCAACAAUGCGAAAUUUUGUCCUUUUAUGUCUAUGUUAUUUUCUAUGAAUCUCUCAGGAAUGAACUCUUCUGCCCUAUCCCAAUACUUUGGAUUUCUUCCUAAAGACCAUGCGUUUACAUAAACAGUUGUCCCUUUUGGUAUGUCAUAACCAGCGACAUUACAAUCCUCAGUGGAGUAACGAGGAGGAAGCACUGCACAUAAAGGAUGAAGUCUAAAUGUCUCUUUAAUUAUGGCAUCGAUAUAAGGUAGCUUUGAGAAGUCUUCUUCUUCUACCCAUCGUUCUUUUCCAAUGGCUCUUUCAAGUUCGUGGUGUGCCUUCUCCAUGAUAUUUGGUCUCCUCAUAAGUUCUUGAAAUGUCCAUUCUAUUGUUGCUGCUGAAGUAUCUGUUGCACCAGCUAGCAAACUAUGCAUUAGUCCCAUCAUGCGAUCAGAAGUAAGCUGAACUUCACGAUUAGGGUCAUUAGCAAGGUGCAACAGAGCAUCAACCAUGUCCUUUGGAACAAAAUCCCCUGAUUUUUGCAUCUUUAUUGCGUUGUGAUCGUCAAGUACAUAUUUGUAAAAUUGUGUGAAAUUCUUCCCCAAGUCCUUCAUUCGCUUUAUGUAUCCUUGCAAGUCGAACCAACUAAGACAAGGUAUCCAAUCUCCAAGAUUAAUCACCCCAGCUAGAAGAAACCAUUCAUCCAACAUCCAUUGCAAUCUUUCAAGUGUUACUAUUGAAGUAUCUGAGUUUGAUUGAUCACUAAAAUAUUUGUCACUCAUAACCAACCUACUAAUAGUACGAAGAGAAAAUCGAG
rnacentral:misc_RNA from 1 species